UGGAAGUAGAAGGUGUGUGGUAUAUAUCUUCCACUGAUCUGAGACUUGUGACUAGGAUGGAAGUAGAAGGUGUGUGGUAUAUAUCUUCCACUGAUCUGAGACUUGUGACUAGGAUGGAAGCAGAAGGUGUGUGGUAUAUAUCUUCCACUGAUCUGAGACUUGUGACUAGGAUGGAAGCAGAAGGUGUGUGGUAUAUAUCUUCCACUGAUCUGAGACUUGUGACUAGGAUGGAAGCAGAAGGUGUGUGGUAUAUAUCUUCCACUGAUCUGAGACUUGUGACUAGGAUGGAAGUAGAAGGUGUGUGAUAUAUAUCUUCCACUGAUCUGAGACUUGUGACUAGGAUGGAAGCAGAAGGUGUGUGGUAUAUAUCUUCCACUGAUCUGAGACUUGUGACUAGGAUGGAAGUAGAAGGUG